rnacentral:lncRNA from 1 species
UAUACAGUACCGUACUGACAGAAGGUCGAAACUUUGGUAUGGUAUGAUAUUUCAAUCAUUGGAAAAGAGAACCUUAACUGGUUUCUUUUGGAUCCAAAAGUCAAGCAAUGAGGUUGUUCCUUGGUUCAUGCUCAGUAGCAUUAAAAUUGAUUGGACUGGUCAAUUUAGCCUGGUCCAUGUGCCAGUUCAUAUGUGGACUGAUGAAUGCCGUAUGGGACAUACUGGUCCAUUUGAAAUUUCAAUGUUUGUCUGUCAUAUAUAUCAAGGAACAAGGUCUCACUUGGAUCCAUAUGUACUGGCAGUAAAUCGGAAUGCAGACCAUCUCUUUAUGGAUGGUCCCAUCAAUUUUUUCUCAGUAAAAUGCUUCUUGGUUGCCCCCCCCCCCCCACCACAAUCACCAAUGCCAUGUUCAAUGCAUUUACCUUAAUGCCCAUAUCUCUCAAAGUCACAUUUACCUUUCAUAAUGUGGUCACUGCUUCUUCUCAAGUUGUGAUACACCAUCUAGUUACGUGGGUGUUUCUAUGUUCUAAGUAUGUAUAACCAAAUGAUUUUUUUAUUAUUACCUUUUCGAGGAAAACUAGAGAGGUCAAUUUAGAUAUGGAUCUAACUGACGUUCUUGUCUAUUCAAUUUGAAUACUUGCGUAUGAUAUAGUUAUCCACCCCAAGGUUUUAACUGUUGAUUGACCAGUUUUGGCAAAUGAUGAAAUGGUGCACAACCAUGAUAUCCGAGAUACUGAGCAUCAUAUACAGAUUUGUGCUGUCCAAUGUGACUGGAUAAGAAUAAAACUAGAGAGGUCAAUUUAGAUAUGGAUCUAACUGAUGUUCUUGUCUAUUCAAUUUGAAUACUUGCAUAUGAUCUAGUUAUCCAACCCAAGGUUUUAACUGCUGACUGACCAGUUUUGGGAAAUGAUGAAAUGGUGCACAAUCAUGAUAUCCGAGAUACUGAGCAUCAUAUACAGAUUUGUGCUGUCCAAUGUGACUGGAUAAGAAUAAAAAUGGUACUUAGCUUGUUGUUCCUUUACCUGUGCUUGGCUGGACUCGUAAGCACCAGUUAAUUUGUAUAUUAAAUCAUGAUCUUCUAUCUAUAUUUAGAUGACAUGUUAUGCAAGUGUGAUUCAGUGAAGGGCUUUUGAUAGAUUAGUUGCAUAAUCAUCAAGCAUAUUUCCUUUUGAAUGAUGGUAAGUAGCAUACAUAAGGUUGCUUCAUUUCCAAGUGGUUCCAUCAUGGAUUCAAGGUUGCAAAAGAAGAUAUCUGAUCUGCCUAACCAUUGUCUAUCAGUACAUAGUUGGGAGCCUCCUGGAACUGUACUUGCUCUUCUUAUAUAUAUAUAUAUAUAUAUAUAUAUAUAUAUAUAUAUAUAUAUAUAUAAGACGAUACAUAGUCUAGCGACCUUGCACUUUAGUUCUAUGUCAUUGUGAUACUCUUGUUCUAAGGCUGUUCAGAUUAAAAAGGUGGAAUUAUUUUCAUCUUACUGGUGAGACUUAUGUACUUCAGUGGCAGGCAUGCAUUGACAUUGCAAUUUUUCUUAAAUUUUAUCACAAUCUUUAUCUUGUUGCCUCCUAUAUAUGAUGUGUGGCUCUAUUUGCUGUUUGCACUGAAGUAAUCUUUUAUCUGAUUUUUAUGUGAUAGCUGCUUUUUAUAUAUAUGUACUGCCAUGAUAUGCUUGGCUUGUGUUGCAUGACAGGAUCUUUCUCAGCCAAAAUCUGAGGCUAGCCCUCCUGAGGGAGUGUUGGCAGUUCCUUUAUUGAGACACCAG